UGUCUUCGGGGUUGGGUGUAAUUCCCUACCGGCAGUAAAGUCUGCGAAGCCCUGUGCGGCCCGAACCGGUGUAAUUCCGGUACCGACAGUAUAGUCUGGAUGAGAGAAGU
rnacentral:ncRNA from 1 species